rnacentral:rRNA from 1 species
GACGAACGCUGGCGGCGUGCCUAAUACAUGCAAGUCGAACGCUUUUUCUUUCACCGGAGCUUGCUCCACCGAAAGAAAAAGAGUGGCGAACGGGUGAGUAACACGUGGGUAACCUGCCCAUCAGAAGGGGAUAACACUUGGAAACAGGUGCUAAUACCGUAUAACACUAUUUUCCGCAUGGAAGAAAGUUGAAAGGCGCUUUUGCGUAACUGAUGGAUGGACCCGCGGUGCAUUAGCUAGUUGGUGAGGUAACGGCUCACCAAGGCAACGAUGCAUAGCCGACCUGGGAGGGUGAUCGGCCACACUGGGACUGAGACACGGCCCAGACUCCUACGGGAGGCAGCAGUAGGGAAUCUUCGGCAAUGGACGAAAGUCUGACCGAGCAACGCCGCGUGAGUGAAGAAGGUUUUCGGAUCGUAAAACUCUGUUGUUAGAGAAGAACAAGGAUGAGAGUAGAACGUUCAUCCCUUGACGGUAUCUAACCAGAAAGCCACGGCUAACUACGUGCCAGCCGCCGCAGUAA